rnacentral:sRNA from 1 species
UGCUGUUUUUUUGGAGCGAGAUUAUACUGGCCGUGCCUGGAUCAAACCUGGGAAGUUCCGGGAGCUGGCUGGUGAAACCGAGACUCUUGUGUGUUUUAGAGUUGUUCCUGGAUGGAUGGGCCUCCUCACCGGAGUCACCGAAGAGGAGUGUGUCUGUACGUCGAUUCUCCCAUCUCCUCACCGGAACUUUGUCGCCUGGUAGUAACUUUGAUGUUUAUCCUUUUCUGUUUUCUUGUUUUUGCCAUGCUUUUUGUGGGUGCCAGGAAAAAGUGAAAAUGGUGGCUUACAUCUUCCCGCCCGCCCAUUGUUUGAAAAGAGG